rnacentral:rRNA from 1 species
AUACGUAGGGGGCGAGCGUUGUCCGGAAUGAUUGGGCGUAAAGGGCGCGUAGGCGGCGCGGUAAGUCUGGAGUGAAAGUCCUGCUUUCAAGGUGGGAAUUGCUUUGGAUACUGCCGCGCUUGAGUGCAGGAGAGGUUAUCGGAAUUCCCGGUGUAGCGGUGAAAUGCGUAGAGAUCGGGAGGAACACCAGUGGCGAAGGCGGGUAACUGGACUACAACGGGCUCUGAGGCGCGAAAGUGUGGGGAGCAAACAGGAGUAGAUGCCCUGGUAGUCCACGCUGUAAACGAUGAAUGCUAAUUGUAAGAGGUAUCGACCCCGUUUGGGCCGUAGGCAACACAAUAAGCAUUACGCCUGGGGUGUAACGCCGUAAGGUUGAAACUCAAAGGAAUUGGCGGGG